UUCAAGAUUGGCUUCGGAGUGAGCCACAACCCAUAAGUAUUGAGGAAGAUUUAGAUUUUCUUGAGCAACUUGAAGAAGAUUUUGCUAAACUUGGAAAAGAACUUUGCAUUGAUGACAUGUAAAAUUGGAGGAUAGAAGAUUUCAUCAUGCAUCGAUCACUUGUUUGGAAUCACUAUGAAUAACUUGAAGAAAAUGAAGAUAGAUCGUGGAAGGUAAAAUGUAUU